UGACCUAGACUGAGGCGCAGCUUCCUUAAC
rnacentral:piRNA from 1 species